AGAGUUUGAUCAUGGCUCAGAGCGAACGCUGGCGGCAGGCCUAAUACAUGCAAGUCGAACGGCUCUUCGGAGCAGUGGCGGACGGGUGAGUAACGCGUGGGAAUGUGCCCUUUGGUACGGAACAACUGAGGGAAACUUCAGCUAAUACCGUAUGUGCCCUUCGGGGGAAAGAUUUAUUGCCAUUGGAGCAGCCCGCGUUGGAUUAGCUAGUUGGUGGGGUAAAGGCCCACCAAGGCGACGAUCCAUAGCUGGUCUGAGAGGAUGAUCAGCCACACUGGGACUGAGACACGGCCCAGACUCCUACGGGAGGCAGCAGUAGGGAAUCUUGCGCAAUGGGCGAAAGCCUGACGCAGCCAUGCCGCGUGAAUGAUGAAGGUCUUAGGAUUGUAAAAUUCUUUCACCGGGGAAGAUAAUGACGGUACCCGGAGAAGAAGCCCCGGCUAACUUCGUGCCAGCAGCCGCGGUAAU
rnacentral:rRNA from 1 species